rnacentral:rRNA from 1 species
AGAAUCAACGCUGGCGGCGUGCCUAACACAUGCAAGUCGAACGAGAAAGUGGAGCAAUCCAUGAGUAAAGUGGCGCACGGGUGAGUAACACGUGACUAACCUACCCUUGAGUGGGGAAUAACUUCGGGAAACCGAGGCUAAUACCGCAUAACACCUACGGGUCAAAGGAGCAAUUCGCUUAAGGAGGGGGUCGCGGCAGAUUAGUUAGUUGGCGGGGUAAUGGCCCACCAAGACGGUGAUCUGUAUCCGGCCUGAGAGGGCGCACGGACACACUGGAACUGAAACACGGUCCAGACUCCUACGGGAGGCAGCAGUGGGGAAUUUGCGCAAUGGGGGAAACCCUGACGCAGCAACGCCGCGUGGAGGAUGAAGUCCCUUGGGACGUAAACUCCUUUCGAUCGGGACGAUUAUGACGGUACCGGAAGAAGAAGCCCCGGCUAACUUCGUGCCAGCAGCCG